UGGGUGAUCCUGUUGGUCUUUUCUAACCAUGGUGAUUCAAUGAUUCUAUGAUGUGUUGCCAUGGAAUCGUGGAAUAGCUUGGGUUGGAAGGCACCUGAAUGCCCACCCAG
ensembl:miRNA